UUGUUUGUUUGAAUGGUGGUCACGUGGCGGGGCGGUGACGUCACCCGCCUUGCCAGGCCUGGCGCCGCUGGAGCCAAAAGCAAAGACGUCAUCGGCCUCGGAGCGGGGUCCGCUGGUCGCGCGCUGGCUGGGGGCCCAGCCCCCGCCCCGCUGUCCGUCCUGUGCCUGGCGCGUCCCCGAGGCCCGGCUCCAGCCGCUCUCGGAGUGCCGCGGAGGGAGAGGGGGCGCGCUGCCAGCCGAGGGCUGACCUCCGGGGUGCCAGCGAUCCGGGAGAGCGCGCUGGGCCACCUGCCUGCCUCUCGCCUCCUCCCCGCCACCUUCUCUUCGCGACUCCUCCUCAGCCCAGUCGGAGCAGAAAGGAGCUGCCUGGGAUUUUGCGUACUUAUAGUUCCCUUUCUGUCAUUUUUUUCUUAUAAGCAGACGGGGAAACUGAGGCCACCUGGGAGAAGCGACUAACUUGGCCAGUAUCGCACUGCUGGGAUGUGGUUAGGGCCACAGAGAGCUCGAGGUGAGGGUUGUAGAAAACGACUUUGUCCGGGUUAAUGUAAUUCUUAUUAAGGAAGACGAAAGCGAACCGCUGGACAGAAGUUCGGGAAAAUGGUCGUUUCCUAGGACUUCUCUGUUACUUUAAAGAUAGUAUAAUUUUUUUCAACAAUGACCAAGGACAGUGUCCCAAAUCAAAGUCCCACUAGGGAAGAUGUUCCCACGCAAGUGGUCCCUAGAAGACAACCCACGGAAGGCGAGUCGGGAGGCUGGGAACUGCACUUCAGGGUUGAGCAUUUGGGGGCGCCAGGGCGACCGCAGCACUGUCUGACAGCGCCCCCUAGGGGCUGUCAGGCACGUUUUGUCACAGUGGCUCAAGACAGCUCAGUCGGUUUCUUUAUUCCACAAACACCGCUGAUUGGAAACCUACUUUGCGUUGGGUUCAGGGGCUCCAUCUGACAGAAGCCCGACCCAUCCGCCGCUGCCUUGGUCCUCGCCAUCUACAUAGGCUACACUGGGAAGCCAGUUGCAGAACGUUUUAAUCGAAUUCUCAGGGCCUGCGCCCCCAAACUUGGGACCACCUUAUGUGGUAUCUUCGUCCCGAACCCCAGCAACUGUCCCCUGGGCAGCAGAGCCCGCGGUGGUGGCGACGCCAAUGUGUGAGAUACACAAACAUAAACAUUGCGCCACCCAGCUGAGGUGCAGAAUCAGGAACAUUCUGCGGUUUCUAACUCCCUCCUGGGGGGAGGGAUUUUACUGGUCAGCCUGUGUUCUUGCUUUGCGGAUUGUAUCACCAGCGGCCACUUCUGCAUUUGCCUCCUUUACCAUGUAUGUUUUCACAUUCUCGAACUUUCCCCCUGGAUGCUUCUAGAAGUUCAGGCCACUGAGUGCUUUUUUUAAAAGGGCGUUUCCCCACCGUCCUUUGAACAUUGGUUGAUGACAACAAAGUUCUCAGAUAAGGGUAACACCCUCCCUGCAUCUCAAGAGAGGGAGAAAAAAAAAUAUUACUUGUUUAUUCUACUUAUUCAGCAGAGGCCCUCAACAUAUUUUGGGGGUUGAAUCAUAGAAUGUUACAGUGGCUGUCUUUCCACUGCAUACCAACUUGAUUUGCCCCAAUUCAUUUAUUUAUUUCUAAGCAAGAGCAUUCAUUUUACCUUCCACUAACCAAAAUUUUAUACAAAUAUCGUAGUUGGUGUAAUCUGGCACUGGAGGUGUGUCCACUGGCCUCUGACUUUUCCUCUGUCCCUUACCAGAAAGAGACAAAGACCAGGCUCAAACCCCAUGCUGUCAUUUCAUAGCUGGAUGACCCUGGGCAACGGUCUUGCUCUGUCGAGGCCUCCAAGCCAGCAUUAUAUAGUGAAUGUACAACAGCCUACUUUGUGAGAGGCAGUAGGUAUAAGGAAUCAAGCCUUAUCCCACGCCCUCUUAUCAUGACUCAUUGAAUCUCAUGGAUUUUCCCUUCCCAGAAAGCAAUUUUUAUAUCAUCCUGACAUUCUGUGUUACGGGCUUCAGCAUCAGAAACUACCAGCGGGUCACUGAAGGACAGAGGCUCAGAAGAGAUAUUGGAGAUGUGAGUAGGGCAGAGGCCCCACUGGGGAACCUCCCUCUUUGGUGUAGGCUGGCUCCACACUGUUAGGGUCAGUCGGCCACCCGCCCAGACACUGGUGGUAAAAGUCAGGCCCCAGUACCAGCAAUGGAGAUUCCACUUCUCAACAGGGGACAGAUCCAGUGAAAAGCAGAAUAAUGUGACCUCUGGUGACUGCAGAGGGGCGCCAGGUUGGUGCUUUGGGCAUGGCUGGUGGAGGGGGCUGGAGCAGGAUGAAUCAGAGGAGUUGACUCAGCCUUUCUGACUUGGGUUCUUCCUGAUUCUUUUUUGUUUUAAGAGACAGAUUUAUGUCACCCAGGCUGGUCUUGACCUCACAGAAAUCCUCCUGCCUCAGCCUCUCGAGUGCUGGGAUUACAGGCAUGUGCCACCACGCCUGGCUCUUCCAGAUUUAGAGAAGUUUAAAAACAAACCUAAAAGCAGUAUGGGAACGUGAGAAGGCCCAGCCAAAGGCCUGGCCUGGACUCUUCACAUUCAUUGUGUGGCCUUGAGUAAGUUACGUCAACUUGUAGUGAUGGAUGGAGAGAAUAGUGACAUUUACUUCUAGAGGGUGGGGGAGAGACACUAGCCUACAAGCCCUGUCCUAACGCUGCCAUCAAAAUUGCCUUUGAAUCUGUCUUGGAAUCACAGAGAAUGAAAGGCACAGCACUUAUGGAAGACAAUCACAAAUGGCCCCAGCACACUGGCUGCUCUAUGACCUUGGGCAAGCAGCCUAUCAUUCCUGAGCCUCAGUUUCUCCAUUUGUACAUUGCAAAUAAUAUCCAUCUAGAACUAAGGGGAACAGAAAAGGCCUGUGGUGGCUCAUACCCUGCUCCUCAGGAGAGACAGUGUGGCCCACAGGUCUCCUUCAGAAUCCGCUGCUGUUUUGCUGUCUGGUGGCUCCUCAUCAUGCUCUGUAACCCACUAUGACCCCUAUUCCCCACCGAGGCCAAAGCUGCCACUCCCAGGCUCCUUUGGCCAUCUGUCUGGCUCAGUCGUUUCUUCCCUUGGAGUUUCCUGUGUGUGCCUCGCUGGGCCUGUUUUCCUGGAACCUUUUUGUCUUUUCUCACCCACAUCUUUGCUUGUGCAGUUCCACCUCUCCAGGCCAGAAUGCUGUCCGCUGUAGGCUCCUCAUCCUCUUUUCCCAUCCUCCAAGACCCAGCAAAAGUGCUCUGUGUGUGAAGACUCUCUUGGUUUCUCCAGCCUCCCUCUCUCCUGGGCUCUGGAGGGCCUCGGCACAUACCCUGAUCCUGUGAAAGUCACUUAGAUCUGUAUCUUAUGCCCCUGGGUUGCCAGUUUGUCAGUUCAGGGACAGGGAUUGUGCCCACUCUUUGGACCCCACAUCCUGUUGCCUUUGGUGCAGUGCCUGGCCCAUAGUAGGCCCACAAUUUGUGAAACAGCCGAAUUCUUUAAGCACACCAUUAGAAGGUGACAUUAGAGAAGAGGUGGAAAGGGACGUGUACUGCACUGUGCGGGAUCAUUCCAUGAGCUCAUCAGUGAUCCAGGGCAAGGCAUAGGCUCUGACAGGAGACAGCACCAGGGCCCACAGCUGAUGAGCAUCAGAAGCAGAUCCAGACCCAGGCUCUGUUCAGCUUGGGAGAUGGAGCCGGGCCCAGGUGCGUGGCCACUAAACCCCACUCUGUUGGGGACUCGGCUUCUGUGAGCCCCAUGCCAGGCAGCAAUGGCUAAGGCCUCUGCCUCCCAGCUGGCCUGGAGCUCUCCUUCCUGCAAAAGGGUCCCUGGCACCAGCUCUGGAGGAAGCCUGGAGCCUUCUAGGAGCAUCGGCUCAGGCUGAAAUGUCCCUGCCACCUCUCCCUGGUCAUUCAGUGCAGAGCCAGACAGAGACACUCAGCAGGACCCACCCUGAGCAGUUAGCAAGAGCUGACUUCAGCCCCCACACCUAAUGCCCACACAGGCAUUAGGACAGAGCCAGUUGCUGUUGCACAAUUCCUGCAAGCAGAUUUUUCAGAGUCAGGCCCGAGAGGCUCUGUGGAGCUGUGUCAUCUCAUUCAGCCUCGUCAUUGGAGAGAUGAGGGCUCAGAGAGGUUAAGCAAUUUGUCCACGGUCACACAGUGUUCAGAACAUUCUAACUCUAGUCAGAGUGGUAUGACUGUGUAUACAAACACUUAUCACUGUUUAUCUCUGGACAUUGGAGCUCCUCUUAUUAGAGACAGAAACUAAAAGGCACUCAGAGAGGAACUAGGCCCUCAAAGGAAUCAAUGCAAAAUAUGAAACAUCAAAAUUAUGGCAGGAGACAAAUUAGGAGAGAGCCAGUUCUGCGAGCCUCCCUAGAGAGAGGCAGCACCUUAAGAGCGUACUAUAACCAGCACCCCCUGUUCCAGGGAGCCUCGGUGGGGCAUCAGAUGCAUAGGUAGGUGACAGAACACCCUGACCCAGACUCCUGUCCUUUCCCCAAAAUGCCUUCAAUUGUUCUCCGUUAGAAGUUACAGAUAGCUGAAGUAUGCCACACACCCUUGCUCUGUGCCUCGAUUCCCUAUUGGCUUAAUAUUAGCUAAGCUACUAUUCUUGUAACCACAUAGGUUGGCCUCAGCUUGGCCAAGUGGUCUGAGACUCACAUAAGAAACCCCAGAGGAAGAGCCUCAGCAGAACCCACUUUCAGGACCCUUCCUGUCCCUCCGGAGCUUUCUUCCCUAACCUUUUCCUACUCUUGACCUCCUUGGAUCCAUUCUUCAAUUCUGGGGAGACGUGGAGUCAGCAUGUCCGACAAGUUGAGCGCCACUUCCCUGUGAUGCUUUCUUAUCAAUUUAUGUGAUAUUGAGCUGAGCAUGGUGGCACAUACCUGUAAUCCCAACACGCGGGAGGCUGAGGCAGAAGGAUUACUGUGAGUUUGAGGUUAGCUUGGACUAUAUAGUGACACCCUGUCUCAAAUGAUAAUAAUUUGUAUGGCAGGAUUUUUCUAAGUCAAAUGUGUAACUUUUGUAACCAAAAGAAAAAACAAAAACAUUUAAAAACACGUGUUCUUAAAAUCAAGUAAGCUUUAGUCAGGGGAGAGGCCUCAUUGCUUGAUAGACAAAAUGAGAAUAAUAGUGUUUAUCUUGUAGAGCUGAGAAUGUCCUUGAGACAAGGAUUGACAAAAUACAGUCUCUGAACCAUACCUAGCCCUCUAUUUCUUUUUGUAUAACCCACAAGCUAGGAGUAGUUUUUACAUUUUAAAUGGUUGGAAGAAAUUUAAAAAACCAUCACACUUUGUGACCCAUGAAAGUUACAAGGAAGUCAAUGUCAACUUCCAUAAAGUUUUAUUAACAUAUAGCCUCGCCCUUUAUUUACAUAUUAUUUAUCGCUGUUUUUUGGUUAGUUUUCGGUCUUUAGGGACAGGGUCUCCCUAUGUAGUCUAGGCUGAUCUUAAAUGCACUGUGUACCCCAGACUGGCCUCAAAUUCACAGUGCUCCUCCUGCCUCAGCCCCCCAAGUGCUGGGAUUACAGGCAUAUGCAACCAUGCCGAGUUUAUGGUUGCUUUUGAGUUUGGAAAAGGGGCUAGUUAUAACAGGGACCACAGGACUCAUAAGGUCUUAGAGCGCCAUCCCUGCCCUUUGCAGGAAGCCUGCUUCCCUUGACUGAAGAUCAUGGACCGAAGGACCUGCAGAGCGAUACCAUGCACAGGGACUCUUCCUUGGGGAAAGGAGGAAGAGGAGCUAUCAGCAGUGUGUGCAGCAUGGAGGGUGGAGACUUGGACAUCCCGCCUUCGUGGGAACUCUCCUAGAUGUUGAAGACAUCACUCUGUAGAAGGAUGACCAAGCUUCUGCCAUGGACGGAAUCUCCAUUCUGGGCUGAGAGGGUUGGAGCCAGACUACACCUAUCACAGAAAGAGGCUAUUAGGUUUUUAGCACGACCACAAGCCCUUUGACCUAUGUGGGUCGACUGAAGUCUGCCCUGGAGGUUGGACUGACACAAGCGAAAGUGGCAAAGACUGUAUAGUGUCCACACCACCACCAUCAUCCUGCGCCUAAAGGCUGCUUGUUAAAUCCUGCCAGCACCCUGCUGGGAAGAGGCAGACAAUAAACAAUAGGCAAACACCCUGAGCUGAUCAGCUUUGGUCUGCCGUGUUGUACCCUGGUAUGUUGGACAGGCCAGAAAGCAGUGAAGCCAGAUGGUCAUCAGCUGGAACUGUGAGACAAACUUUUGAAACUCUGACUUCAGUCAGAAAAAUGAAUGCCUAGUGUGAUGGUUAUCUUGGCUGUCACCCUGAUCUGCGUGAGAGACACGUAGGAGAUUGUUACCAUGGUCCAGCAAUUCCACUUCCAGUAUAAACCUAAAGGGACUGAAAGCGGAAACCCAGACAGACUCUGCUCAGCUGCUUUCAUGGCAGUCUUAGAAGGAACUGGCCACGGACAAACAGGAAAACACAGUGCGUACACUCCCUGACUUAGGAGGCUUGGCCUUGUGAGUUUUUUUAUUUUACAACGAUAGGAAAAGAAAACACAUUACAGAAUUGUACUUUGAAUUUUGAACUUUGAUCUUUUCUUCUCUGGGCCACAUAACCCUCUCUGGACUCUGAGCAGCCCUACCCAGCGCAGCUGCCUGUCAACGUGCGAUCCAGGAGAAAUGACCAGGGCGCCACUUGCUGAGUGGCCAGCUGGGCUGCGCCCUAGGUCAGGCAGAUUCGACGCAUUUUAAAUUUGUGAUAUUUUCAGCUUAUGAUGGGUUUACCAAGAUGCAGCUCCGUUAGUUGGGGAACAUGUUUAUAAACAAUGGAAUGUUCUGUCUUUUCCACCAAAGGAAUAAAAAGGUCUCUGUUCAUGAUUA